rnacentral:lncRNA from 1 species
GCGUCGAGCACAAAGCGAACUAUUCUUUCGCCUUUUACUAAAGAAUACCGUGUGCGCGUCGCUUUAAAUGGCAUACGCCUAUUUUUUGAGGGGCGCACCUCUGUGGGUGCCCCUAUAAUUUGAGUUCGAAUUAUUUGGAUUUUCUUAUUUCUGGUGUUUGUAGCUUACCGUUGUACCCAAAUGGUUUGUUAUGUAAAUAGCAUGCUCUGUUUCCCAUCGUUGGAAUUGCAUUUACUAUUCACUUGCUAAUUUCUAGCUGUACCUUCAGAUUCACACCUUGGAAAGUUACAUUUUUUUUGGGUAGGGCAAUCAUGUAUACAAAUCCUGCUCAUAUGGAUCCAUCAUUAUAUGCUGUGUCGAAAAUGGGUACUGUUUGGAGAAUCAAAUAGACAUUAG